rnacentral:lncRNA from 1 species
CACAUAAUAAGUCCGUUUAUAUUUUCUAUUAAAAAGCAAAUAAUAAAUAAUUCAACCAAAAAAAAAUAAAAAAUAGUGAUGUCAUACAAAUCCACUUCUUGAUUGGGCUUGAAACUAAACUCUUGGGCUCUUUUGUUUCAUUUGAGAACUAAGAAAAGGCCCAUGCCUAAAUCUUCUACUUACGGUGAGAAUUAAGCCCGGCCCGUAAUAUUUUUAUGUAUGUCGAGUUAUAAUAUACUCCAAUUUCUUACGAACAAAAUGAGAUAAUAUUCAACUAAAAUGGCAAAAACGGACUUUUGAAAGUCUAGACGAUCGCCGCCGUAUUGUUGAAAUCUGAAGUGAUUCAUGGACUUUCAUCAUUAGUUUUGUUCACUCGACCGUUUUGCUCGAGAUACAGUUUAUUUUUCUGACGCAGAUACAAAUUGUGCAUGAAAAAUGUAAUCCAACAAAUUAAUCAUGUAGAACAAAUAAACAUUCAUAAUCUAUAAAAUAUUUGAUUCGAUUAUAAUUACGACGUAAAUUUUAAAUGAUGCAAUAUAAUAUGUAAUAAUAUAUAUUUCAAAACAUGAAGAGAUACGUAUGGAUAUAUAAAUAAUGCACUAACAAAAUUAGUCAAUUUAAUAAAUAUAAAAUGAAUAUAUAAUAAUUAAUUUAAUUAAAAAAGUUAAGGGUAGAGAAUAGAAUCUACUUUUGAAGUACAGUCUGAACACACGAUGCAAAAAGAAAGGUGAUAAUAUAUACAUAUAUAAAAUUAAUAUUAAAAAUGGACCCCUGCUUUUAUUUUUUCUUUAUUUUUUAAUCCUUUUUCUUUUUCUUUACCUUCUUUCAAGACCAAAGCUGAUUUAUGCAGGGGGAAUGUUUCUCCUUAAUGCGUUAUUAUUACACUGUGUUCUUGAUGUGUGUGUGUGUGUGAGAGAGAGAGAGAGAGAGAGCUGGAUCUAGAGAGAGAGAUCUAGAGAGAGAGAGAGAGAGAGAAUAGUUCGAUGUUGAAAAGGGUACGGUGGUCCAUAUUUCAUGAUGACAGAAAUUCCAAUUUCCAAACAUGUGUUUCUUUUUGACCUCCUGCAUUUGACUGUCUCACUAACUUUAUUCCCUAUUAACCAACCACACCCCAACAAAUCAGAUUUCAAUAUACAUAUAUAUAUAUAUAUAUGUGUAAAUUACAAAAACCUCAUCAACUUAGUCUAAAUAACGAAAAAUACCCCCACCUAUCUGUAAUAACUAAAAUUCCCCUCUGAUUCAUACUCUUGAUCGAGUUUUUUUUAACAGAAAUGUGUACAAUCUACUAUAAAAUUGUGCAAAGUCUAUAUAUAUAUAUAUAUAUAUAUAUAUAUAUAUAUAUAUAUAUAUAUAUAUAUAUAUAUAUAUGUGCAAUUCUUGAUGAUACAUUGUAUGUUUCAUGAAUGUUAUCAGGCAAAAAAAACCCCGUAAACUUAAUUCAAAUUUCACACCAAAAAUCGUUGAGGAACGGUGAGAUUAUACCGUACGUACGAUAAACCCGAGCAAAAAUAUCGAACAAGUCGUUGUGCACAAAAAACAGUACAAUAUGGAUGGUACAUCAAUUCUUGAAAGUGAAACAUGUCAUUAAUAAUUAUGGAUUAG